UCUGGUUGAUCCUGCCCGACCCGACUGCUAUCAGAGUGGGACUAAGCCAUGCGAGUCAACGUAAAAAUACGAGGCAAACGGCUCAGUAACACGUAGUCAACAUGCCCAGGGGACGUGGAUAACCUCGGGAAACUGAGGAUAAACCGCGAUAGGCCAUGAUUUCUGGAAUGGUUCAUGGCCGAAAUCUAUAUGGCCCCUGGAUUGGACUGCGGCCGAUCAGGCUGUUGGUGAGGUAAUGGCCCACCAAACCUGUAACCGGUACGGGCUCUGAGAGGAGGAGCCCGGACAUGGGCACUGAUACAAGGGCCCUGGCCCUAUGGGGCGCAGCAGGCGCAAAAUCUCUGCAGUAGGCUACAGCUUGACUAGGUUACUCAGAGUGAUUCCCGCCAAGGGGAUCUUUUGGCACCUCUGCAGAUGGUGCAGAAUUUGGGGUGGGCUAAUUUGGUGUCAGCCGCCGCAGUGAUACCAACACCCCGAGUGGACGGGACUAAUAUUGGCCCUGAAGCGUUCUUAGCCAUUGCUGAAGUUCCUCGCCUGCAGCCCCCUGCACGGCCUGUGUGCUUAUCUGAAUACCACUCUGCGGGCUCCUCCUCUCGGAGCCCGGUACGUUUGGGUUUGGUGGAACAUACCUCACCAAUGAAGACCAUCAGUGCAAACGAUCAAGCCGCAUAUAAUUUUGAUCAACACUGUUCCAUGUUUCUGGAAAUAUCACGGUAUACCCUCGAUUUCCCGCUAUAUACACAC
rnacentral:rRNA from 1 species